rnacentral:rRNA from 1 species
CCUACGGGAGGCAGCAGUGAGGAAUAUUGGUCAAUGGGCGCUAGCCUGAACCAGCCAAGUCGCGUGAAGGAUGACUGCCCUACGGGUUGUAAACUUCUUUUAUAUGGGAAUAAAGUGUAGUAUGUAUACUGCUUUGCAUGUACCUUAUGAAUAAGGAUCGGCUAACUCCGUGCCAGCAGCCGCGGUAAUACGGAGGAUUCGAGCGUUAUCCGGAUUUAUUGGGUUUAAAGGGAGCGUAGGCGGGUUGUUAAGUCAGGUGUGAAAGUUUGGGGCUCAACCGUAAAAUUGCAGUUGAUACUGGGAGCCUGGAGUACAGUAGAGGUAGGCGGAAUGCGUGGUGUAGCGGUGAAAUGCUUAGAUAUCACGAAGAACUCCGAUUGCGAAGGCAGCCUGCUGGACUGUAACUGACGCUGAUGCACGAAAGUGUGGGUAUCGAACAGGAUUAGAUACCCGGGUAGUC